UUACGGUCAUAUCGCAUUGAAACAUCUGUUCCCGUACGAACACCGAAGUUAAGCAACGUCGAGUCUGGUCCGUGCCGAGAUGUGUGACUGCUAAGGAAUACA